rnacentral:rRNA from 1 species
CCUACGGGAGGCAGCAGUGGGGAAUAUUGCGCAAUGGGCGAAAGCCUGACGCAGCGACGCCGCGUGAGGGAUGAAGGUCUUCGGAUCGUAAACCUCUGUUAGCAGGGAAGAACGGUCACUGUGCUAAUCAGCAGUGAAUUGACGGUACCUGCAAAGGAAGCACCGGCUAACUCCGUGCCAGCAGCCGCGGUAAUACGGAGGGUGCGAGCGUUAAUCGGAAUUACUGGGCGUAAAGCGCUCGUAGGCGGUAUGUCAAGUCAAGGGUGAAAGCCCCGGGCUCAACGGGGGAACUGCAUUUGAAACUGGCAAACUGGAGUGUGUGAGAGGAUAGUGGAAUUCCAGGUGUAGGAGUGAAAUCCGUAGAUAUCUGGAGGAACAUCAGUGGCGAAGGCGACUAUCUGGCACAUAACUGACGCUGAGGAGCGAAAGCGUGGGUAGCAAACAGGAUUAGAUACCCCAGUAGUC